rnacentral:rRNA from 1 species
AUUGAACGCUGGCGGCAGGCCUAACACAUGCAAGUCGAACGAGUGGCGGACGGGUGAGUAAUGUCUGGGACACUGCCUGAUAGAGGGGGAUACCUCCUGGAAACGGUUGCUAAUACCGCAUACUAUCGGAUUAACCCAGAUGGGAUUAGCUAGUAGGGUGGGUAAAGGCUCAGCGAGGCGACGAUCCCUAGCUGGUCUGAGAGGAUGACCAGACACACUGGAAUUGAGACACGGUCCAGACUCCUACGGGAGGCAGCAGUGGGGAAUAGUGCACAAUGGGGGAAAGCCUGAUGCAGCCAUGCCGAGUGUAUGAAGAAGGCCUUAGGGUUGUAAAGUACUUUCAGCGGGGAGGCGUUACCCGCAGAAGAAGCACCGGCUAACUCCGUGCCAGCAGCCGCGGUAAUAC